UCUUAAGGUCAUGUCAUACAUAUGUUCAUAUAAUAUUUUAUCUUAAGGUCGUGUCAUACAUAUGUUCAUGUAAUAUUUUAUCUUAAGGUCGUGUCAUACAUAUGUUCAUAUAAUAUUUUAUCUUAAGGUUGUGUCAUACAUAUGUUCAUGUAAUAUUUUAUCUUAAGGUCGUGUCAUACAUAUGUUCAUAUAAUAUUUUAUCUUAAGGUCGUGUCAUACAUAUGUUCAUGUAAUAUUUUAUCUUAAAUUCAUAUCAGAUACAUGUUCGUGUAAUAUUUUAUCUUAAGGUCAAGUCAGAUAUUGGAGAUGUUGACAUACUGGUUAACAAUGCUGGUAUUGUGACAGGCAAGAAGUUUCUAGAAUGUCCUGAUGUAUUGAUUGAGAAAACAAUGGCUGUCAAUAGUAAUGCACAUUUUUGGACUACCAAAAGUUUCCUGCCUUCCAUGUUAUCACGUAACCAUGGUCACAUUGUCAGUAUAGCCAGCUCUGCAGGGCUUUUUGGAGUCAGUGGACUAUGUGACUAUAGUGCAAGCAAAUUUGCAGCUGUUGGCUUUGAUGAAUCUUUAAGGUAGAGAUCAUUGAACUUCAAGUACCCCACACAUCCAAGUACUCCACACAUCCAAGUAUCGUACACAUCCAAGUAUCCCACACAUCCAAGUACCCCACACAUCCAAGUACCCCACACAUCCAAAUACCCAACAGUCAGAUUUCUUUCUAACCGAGCCUCCCGAGACAUGACAUUAAACUGCGCUCCUCUUUCCCUAGCACUUUUGGAGCUCAAAAGUGCCCUACUUCUUUUCUAUCAUUGUGUCUGC
rnacentral:sRNA from 1 species